GCGGCUUAAUUUGACUCAACGCGGGGUAAUUUACCAGGUAUAACAUGAUAUAAUAUUUUAUCAUGAUAGUGGUGCAUGGCCGUUUUCAAUGGAUGCUGUGAAGUAAUGAUUAAUUUCAACAAGAUGUGAGACCCUCAUUUAGACAGAUGUAGUGAUACAUAUGAAGGAGAGGAUUAAAACAGGUUCGUUAUGCCCUAAGAUAAUCUGGGUUGCACGCGCAAUACAAUAAUAUUUGAUAUUAUAAGGGAUAAUAUAAUGUAAGAUAUAUUUGAACAUGGAAUUGCUAGUAAAUUUUAUUUAAUAAGUAGAAUUGAAUGAGUCCCUGUUCUUUGUACACACCGCCCGUCGCUAUCUAAGAUGGUAUUAUCUAUGAACAAAUUUAUAAAGUGAAUAGAUAGUACUAGAUCUGAUAUAAGUCGUAACAUGGUUGCUGUUGGAGAACCAUUAGCAGGAUCAUAA
rnacentral:rRNA from 1 species